UUCACCUGCAAAACCAAAAAUGACUCAAUACAUCAUUAACGAAAAAACUUCACAACUGACUGUAACGAUUUCCUAACUAAAAUAACAAACUUCAAUUCACAGCGUUGGAAACGUAUAACUUCUUCACAAUAGGAGUUAACGGAGGUAACAAAUUUAACGGAUUGGAAGUGUAUAUAAGCUGAUUGCACCAUUCGACAGGGUCACUUUUUUAGAUUUCCGUAAUUUCACAACUGUAAAUCUCCAGCUCCACGAACCUCACGAAAACCUCAUAACAAUUCUUCACACGACACUCGGGUUCACUCUCGAAGCAUCUCAUAAUUCACAACAACCACACAAUAAAUCGUCUCGAUCCGGUAUACGCGAAGAAGAAAAAGGAGAAGAGAGACCAACAAAGUAAGAAGAAGAAGGAGAAGGGAAAAACCGAGAUAAAAGAGGAGAUUCUUACCCGUUGAUCAUCAGACUAAUCCGGGACCUAUUAUGCCAGUUGCUAUCGUCAAUGCAGUCAUGGAUAAGAUAGACCGAAGAAAAACAUAUUAGUACAAAUUGAGAGACUCUAAGGUCGAUGAAUUGAUAAAGCUCAGUGAGUUCCUAACUGACGAUUAUCGAGUAGACUUCAAACAAGCCUAUGGCAACCUGUUGGGAGUUUUGUCUGGUAAGGAAGACUCAGGGUUGAUGUUCACAUACGCGCAGUUCUAUGAUCCCACACUACACUGCUUCAUGUUCCAGGACUUCCUUCUAGCCCCCACACUAGAAGAAUUUGCUCAUUUGCUUUAGCUACCGGUUAGAGACCAAGCUCCCUACAUGAUAGAGGAUAAUUUCCCGGAUUCCGCAGAUAUAGCUCAAGCCUUGUGCAUGAAGAAGGAUUUGAUCGAGUCCACACUCCGAAUCAAGGGUAACACACAGGGCCUACCGUCUAAGUUCUUAUUCAAGAACACCACUGUGUUUGCCAAUAGUGGAAGUUGGGACGCCUUUUACGCCAGCUUCGCACUACCCGUCUAUGGGUUGGUACUAUUCCCGAAUAUGGAAGGCUUCGUUGACAAGACCGCCAUCACCAUAUUCAUCUCCCGGAACCAAGUUCCCACCUUACUAGUUGAUGUAUUAUUCUCCUUCCAUUGGAGAAACAUGAAGAAAUGGGGGACUAUCAAUUGUUGUAUUCCUUUGCUUCAGAAGUAGAUCAUGUCCCACCUAUCGAAGAAAGGGUUGUUUGUUGAUAAUGUCGGUAAUCUGAAAUGGUCACAAAGGUUAAUGUCAUUAGAUGUUGAGGACGUCGUCUGGUUUAGUCUCGAUUACUUGAGGUUGGAGAUAAUAUUCCGAUGUGGGGAGUUCCCAAAUGUUCCUCUCGUCAGCACAAAAGGGGGUUUGAUCAACUAUAACCCCGUUCUCUCAUUGCGUCAGUUAGGAUAUCCGCUCAAAGAGAAACCCGAAGACCGUCUAUUGGAAGAGUUGUUGUUAGCCGAAGGGGUUGAGAAUCCAGAGCUGAUAAAGAAAUUACGCAGAGCUUUGGGCAAGAUACAGUGAAUUGGGAAGAAAGAACUAGGCAAGCAACCGUGUACCGUGACAGCUUCAUAUGCUGAUUGGGUGAAGUCAAGGGCCAAAAUGUUCAAACUUCCAUACCCAUGGGAAUCUUCCAUGUGUAUCAAGACCAUCAAACCACCUACUAUCAUCGUUUAUGAAGUGGAUCGCCUUAAAGAAACCACCAAGAAGUUAGAAAAAGAGAACGCCGGCCUCCGUUCCAGCCUGAUAAAAGUCACCUCAGAAAAGAACACUCUGAAAGCCAGUCACAAUCAAAAGAGAGAAAGGUUCAACAAAGAAGACACUGAUAUUCAGAAUGAGCAAAACAAAAGGAGGAAGGUGGGAGAUUCCUUGAAAGGGUCUUUUGAGACCAUUGCAAGCAAGAAAAAGGAAUUAGUUGAAGCUUAACACCGAGCCUGCAAGAGGGAGAUUGACUACCAAGGCCAAAUCAAGACUCUAUAAGACCAAUUGGAGAAAUGUCAUAAAGAGAUGAAGGACGAGCAAGCCCGCGCCAAGAAGCUGGAAGUAACUCUCGCAUAAAUCCAGAGUGACAUCGACAAAAGGUUUGAAGAGAUACGAUCUUUGAACCGUCAGGCCCAUCAGAACUUGGAAGAAAGGACCCAACCUCACAUAAAUCCAAGAGGAAGCUACCCAAUGGGAGAUUCAGAGUCAUCACUUGUAAUUUCUCCUAGACUAGAAAGAAGAAUUUGUAUAGGAUAUUCUGAGUGGACCUAAUCAUUCCUUACUACGCAACCUCAUCAAGGAUGCUCAGUAUUGGACCGAUAGACAUGCCCGCCUAUCCGAAUUUGCUAAUUAGUCACUCGAGGACCUUUCUGGAUUAUUGAAGAAAGCUUAUGCUGACAUGUUCCCUCACAACACUCCGUGGACCGCUUUCCAUUUUGUAUCUGUAUGUAGGGUUUUCAUGGGAAGGAUCAAAUUUGAUCUCCAUGCUAGUUCAUCAAAAUGAUCUCGAGUUGUAAUAAUUUGUACUGUUUGACUUUCAAAUGAAUAAAAGAGAUUUUGUUGAAA